rnacentral:rRNA from 1 species
AUUGAACGCUGGCGGCAGGCCUAACACAUGCAAGUCGAACGAGUGGCGGACGGGUGAGUAAUGUCUGGGAAACUGCCUGAUGGAGGGGGAUAACUACUGGAAACGGUAGCUAAUACCGCAUACCAUCGGAUGUGCCCAGAUGGGAUUAGCUAGUAGGUGGGGUAAAGGCUCACCUAGGCGACGAUCCCUAGCUGGUCUGAGAGGAUGACCAGUGACACGGGAAGGUAGAAAGUGUCGAGACCCCUUCGGGAGGCAGGAGUGGGGAAAAUUGAACAAUGGGCGCAAGCCUUAUGCAGCCAUGCCGCGUGUAUGAAGAAGGACUGCGGGUUGUAAAGUACUUGCAGCGGGGAGGCGUUACCAGCAGAAGAAGCACCGGCUAACUCCGUGCCAGCAGCCGCGGUAAUAC